GAUGCGACCUCAGCUCAGGCGGGGCUACCCGCUGAGUUUAAGCAUAUCAAUAAGCGGA
rnacentral:rRNA from 1 species